UCUCUUUCUCCCUCCCUCCUUAACCGAUCGUCUCCCUUUCUCUCUCGUUUGCUCUUUGCCAGCCCCGAAAGGCUACCCACCGAUGUCGCCGCCAUUCAAGCACCAGACCAGGAAGACCAGACACCGCCGAAACUCCAUCCCCGCGAGCCCUUCGUCGUCGUUCUUCCCUGCGAGCAGAAGCCUCCAGGUCCGUGCGCCGCCGCCGUGGCUGGCGCAGGAGGCUCGACGAAGAUGGCGAUGGGGCUCGACAGCGUAGGGUCUGGGAUCGUUGGUGGAGAGUGAAACAGAGGAGAAAGAUAGACAAAUGAAGAGAAUGGGAAUUUUUGGUGUGUAUAGAAAUAUUCCAAGAAUUUUACUGUACUCUUGUACAUUUUCAGUUAUGAAGAACAAACGCAAUAGCUCUCAUGUUACCUCACUAGUCACGGCACCAGGUCCGAAGGACUCCUCACAGCUUCACAAAAUCCGGACAGCAAUAGGGCAGUUGGUAUUCUAUUUAUUUUGUUGUUGUUAGUCUUAUAUUAAUUUUUGAAGAAGAGAACUAUAGAGAUAUCUAUUUAUUUGGCGUCAAAAUAAUAAAUUAAUUGUUAUAUUAUUUUGAUUCUCAGAAUGAGUGGAUUGCUAGUUUAAA